rnacentral:rRNA from 1 species
GUAUAAGAGACAGCAGCCGCCACGGUAAUACAGAGGAUGCAAGCGUUAUCCGGAAUGAUUGGGCGUAAAGGGCUCGCAGGCGGUUUCUUAAGUCUGAUGUGAAAGCCCCCGGCUCAACCGGGGAGGGUCAUUGGAAACUGGGAAACUUGAGUGCAAGAGGGGAGAGUGGAAUUCCAUGUGUAGCGGUGAAAUGCGUAGAUAUAUGGAGGAACACCGGUGGCGAAAGCGGCUCUCUGGCUUGUAACUGACGCUGAGGCUCGAAAGCGUGGGGAGCAAACAGGAUUAGAUACCCGUGUAGUCCCUGUCUCUUAUAC